CACGUAGUUAGCCGGGGCUUAUUCCUUUGGUACCGUCAUUUAUUCGUUCCAAAGAAAAGAGCUUUACAAUAAAAUUACCUUCAUCACCCACGCGGCAUUGCUGGGUCAGAGUUGCCUCCAUUGCCCAAUAUUCCCCACUGCUGCCUCCCGUAGGAGUCUGGGCCGUGUUUCAGUCCCAAUGUGGCCGAUCAGCCUCUCAGCUCGGCUACCCAUCGUAGGCUUGGUGGGCUGUUAUCUCACCAACUACCUAAUGGGAUAUGAGCCCAUCUCUAUCCGAUAAAAUCUUUUUACCGCUGCACGAUGCCGUGCUGUGGUCAUAUACCGUAUUACCAGUCGUUUCCAACUGCUAUCCCGUUGAUAGAGGCAGGUUGCUCAUACAUUACUCACCCGUUCGCCACUAAACUUUCAUCCCGAAGGAAUCAGUCCGUUCGACUUGCAUGUGUUAAGCUAUGCCGCCAGCGUUCUCUCGUAGCCAGAUACAAAUACUCUGUAGACUACG
rnacentral:rRNA from 1 species